GACGAACGCUGGCGGCGUGCUUAACACAUGCAAGUCGAACGGAAAGGCCCCUUUGGGGGUACUCGAGUGGCGAACGGGUGAGUAACACGUGAGUAACCUGCCCUUUACUUUGGGAUAACUUCAGGAAACUGGGGCUAAUACCGGAUAGGAAUCCUUGCUGCAUGGUGGGGGUUGGAAAGCUUCGGCGGUUUUGGAUGGACUGGCGGCUUAUCAGCUUGUUGGUGGGGUAGUGGCUUACCAAGGCUUUGACGGGUAGCCGGACUGAGGGGGCGACCGGCCACAUUGGGACUGAGGGACGGCCCAGACUCCUACGGGAGGCAGCAGUGGGGAAUAUUGCACAAUGGGCGGAAGCCUGAUGCAGAAACGCCGCGUGCGGGAUGACGGCCUUCGGGUGGUAAACCGCUUUCAGCAGGGGCGAAGCUUGUGGUGACGGUACCUGCAGAAGAAGCACCGGCUAACUACGUG
rnacentral:rRNA from 1 species